UGCUGUCCAGAGGCCAGGUUGCUGCCAACCUUUCCUAACUAUCCUUCUGCUCCAUAAGGUUUCAUCCAACUUGGCUGGUUAAUCUUCCAGGCAAAGGCAACCUUCGUAAGAACAGGACCAAAUGGCUGUGUCUGCCUCCAAGGGGAUUCAGACACUGGUGGAAGUGAGUGCCCUCAAGGAACGCUGGCUAGCAUAGGGACAGCACAAUGACUUGAUGUGACACAGGUCAGCUCUCCUGGAAAAACAUGGCUGCCCCUCCCAGCCCAGUAGGAGCACGUGGGGUUGUAGUUACGGAGCCCAGAAGUAGAGACAGGUCCAUUGUGCAAAAGCAUUUGGAAGAUAAUGACACCACAGCCUUCCAAAAGAUGCUCUCUGCAGACUGCUCAGUUCCAUCCAGGCAACCCAAGAACUGUCAAAGUUUCUGGCCUCACUGGUUUUGCUUGUGACCCAAAGUGAUACAUCAUCUUCCUUAAUCUCACAAGACCGAUGCUAAGAAAACAGUAAAUGAGCCACUCCAGCUGGAAGUCACUUGUUCGUAGUUCACACUAGAUUGGAUUUCAGUUUC